CCCAUCCAGGCUCUGGUGCUCCAGCACCCUAUCCAGACUCAGAGAAGCUCAAGUAGAUAGUUCAACCAUCACUGGCUGGCUAGAAUGAAGCUACACUUACUGCAGCUAUCUACAGCUUAAUAGUGAUAGUUACAAUAACUUUAUACCAGUUAGAUCUAGCUAGCUAGCCUAAAAAACUUAAUUUUAUUCGAUCGUUACUGGGAUAUCCAUGGGAACUAAUAAAGAGUGGGGAGGGGCUCAAUAAUAAGGCUAGGCAGCAGGAAGUGGUUUGCUGUAUCAAACACUUGAGCUUGCCUCACAACAUGCAGCACAACAAGGUUCUUGGAUCCAGGUACGUACUGGUGGUCAUACUUUGUACGCUGCCUGUCACCUCCUGGUAAGCUGAUCAAUCUUUUAGUGGCCUGAAAAGAAAAGAAUCAAGACUGUCGUCAGAUCAAGCAAAGGAACAAACGUUUAUCAUCACUUAAUAACUUCUACAUUUACACAGAGACUAGACAUGAUUGCAUUGACAUUUGACAUACCUUAAGAAGAGUUGGCUAGAGUUUGCCAUCCCAGGCGAAUUGAGCUUCUGGUCGUAAACAUUCUUGAUUUGCUGAUGGCACUGUCACGUCAGUACUGUGGCUGUGCACCAUCUAGAAAACAGUGGGCGUUGCCGACAAAAGGAGGCGUGAUCCCGGAAGUGGGCGUGGUCUAAAUUUUGCGGCGCGCAUCGCCCCUGUUGAAGUGUCUGUACGCUGGUGUUUAUGUGGGUACCGUACCGACCGGCUAUGGCAAGUCCCAGAGCAAGUCCAUCUGCUUUCCAGACACUCCCUUUCUUGAUUGAUGUGAAGCUUGACAGGACCAGUGCACCUCUCUCUGAAAGAAGUGUUGUGAUGGUGAUUUCUCCUCUUGUUUCUCUGAGUGAAGCCAUCUUCAAAGUGUUGGUGUGUCUGUUCGACGUUCAGUGCCAUUUCUCUCUGGAAGGAAGUAUUGUUGUGACAUUUGCCGAAAAUUGGUCACAGAGUAAGUACGUGGUAUCUGAUCCGAGAACUGUGUGGCCUGAAUGUGUUUACAAUCCGUGUAUCCGAUCCGAGGGACUUGUUGCUUGAGUGUGUAUCCGGACUUGUUGCUUGAGUGUGUAUUAAUGGAUAGUGCUUUCAAUGGUUUAACUAAUUUCUUAUGAGAUUAACUUGUCGCCUGAGUGUGUAUCCGAUCCAAGCCUCAAGUUAAUGAAUAAAUCUACAGAGCUGAUGUUUUACUUAGCUGUCUCUGUCUACAGUAUAUGCAGAGAGGUAGCCUCUUCUUUUUCUUUUUUCUGUUCUUUAUCACAAUAAGAUAAAAUACUGUUUUAACGUUCAAUGAGAUAAAUACGGUAAAUAAUAAA